GACGAACGCUGGCGGCGUGCUUAACACAUGCAAGUCGAACGGAAAGGCCCUGCUUUUGUGGGGUGCUCGAGUGGCGAACGGGUGAGUAACACGUGAGUAACCUGCCCUUGACUUUGGGAUAACUUCAGGAAACUGGGGCUAAUACCGGAUAGGAGCUCCUGCUGCAUGGUGGGGGUUGGAAAGUUUCGGCGGUUGGGGAUGGACUCGCGGCUUAUCAGCUUGUUGGUGGGGUAGUGGCUUACCAAGGCUUUGACGGGUAGCCGGCCUGAGAGGGUGACCGACCACAUCGGGACUGAGAUACGGCCCAGACUCCUACGGGAGGCAGCAGUGGGGAAUAUUGCACAAUGGGCGGAAGCCUGAUGCAGCAACGCCGCGUGCGGGAUGACGGCCUUCGGGUUGUAAACCGCUUUCGCCUGUGACGAAGCGUGAGUGACGGUAAUGGGUAAAGAAGCACCGGCUAACUACGUG
rnacentral:rRNA from 1 species